UACGGAGGAUGCAAGCGUUAUCCGGAAUGAUUGGGCGUAAAGCGUCCGCAGGUGGCUGUGUAAGUCUGCUGUCAAAGAGCGAAGCUCAACUUCGUAAAGGCAGUGGAAACUACACGGCUAGAGUGCGUUCGGGGCAGAGGGAAUUCCUGGUGUAGCGGUGAAAUGCGUAGAGAUCAGGAAGAACACCGGUGGCGAAGGCGCUCUGCUAGGCCGCAACUGACACUGAGGGACGAAAGUGUGGGGAUCAAACAGG
rnacentral:rRNA from 1 species